GGUUCUGAUAGCACAGCAGCACUCAGCAGGCUCAUCGCUUUCUCUGACCUACAGUACUGACAUCCAAACUGAAAGGACUACGUUUAAGUGUCAAAGAGAUUCCGAGCCAUCUGCUGCCUCACCAGCUGCUCUCGGUGCAGGAUGAAACUUAUCUCAAUUCAGGAACCUGGGCCUCAGGCAGAGGGGUGGAAGGAAAUCGCUGACCUCACAAGCGCUGUCUGCAGGAUGCGCGCCCAGACUGGUACAGACGUUGGAAAUUGGACGAAUCUCUUGUGGUGUCUCCCACUUUGGUCAACACAAGCAGAGUGUUUCCCCAGUGGUGCAGUGAGAAAGACUUGGAUCAUCCCUGUUUGUCCCAUGCAGUGGCUCAUCAGAUGUUUCUAG
rnacentral:lncRNA from 1 species